rnacentral:rRNA from 1 species
AUUGAACGCUGGCGGCAUGCUUUACACAUGCAAGUCGAACGGUAACAGGCCUUCGGGUGCUGACGAGUGGCGAACGGGUGAGUAAUGCAUCGGAACGUACCCAGAGGUGGGGGAUAACGCAGCGAAAGCUGUGCUAAUACCGCAUCUGAUCUGAGGAUGAAAGCGGGGGACCGAGCAGCAAUGUUUGGCCUCGCGCCUUUGGAGCGGCCGAUGUCGGAUUAGCUAGUUGGUGGGGUAAAGGCCUACCAAGGCGACGAUCCGUAGCUGGUCUGAGAGGACGACCAGCCACACUGGGACUGAGACACGGCCCAGACUCCUACGGGAGGCAGCAAUGGGGAAUUUUGGACAAUGGGCGCAAGCCUGAUCCAGCAAUGCCGCGUGCGGGAAGAAGGCCUUCGGGUUGUAAACCGCUUUUGGCAGGAACGAAACGGUGUCCGCUAAUACCGGGCGCUAAUGACGGUACCUGCAGAAUAAGCACCGGCUAACUACGUG